rnacentral:rRNA from 1 species
GAUGAACGCUAGCGGCAGGCUUAACACAUGCAAGUCGAGGGGUAGAGUUAGCUUGCUAACUUGAGACCGGCGCACGGGUGCGUAACGCGUAUGCAAUCUACCUUGUACAGAGGGAUAGCCCAGAGAAAUUUGGAUUAAUACCUCAUAGUAUUAUUGAAUGGCAUCAUUUGAUUAUUAAAGUUCCAACGGUACAAGAUGAGCAUGCGUCCCAUUAGCUAGAUGGUAAGGUAACGGCUUACCAUGGCAACGAUGGGUAGGGGUACUGAGAGGGAGAUCCCCCACACUGGUACUGAGACACGGACCAGACCCCUACGGGAGGCAGCAGUGAGGAAUAUUGGUCAAUGGGCGCAAGCCUGAACCAGCCAUGCCGCGUGCAGGAAGACGGUCCUAUGGAUUGUAAACUGCUUUUAUACGGGAAGAAACCCUGCUACGUGUAGCAGCUUGACGGUACCGUAAGAAUAAGCAUCGGCUAACUCCGUGCCAGCAGCCGCCGUAA